GCGGAUCUCUUAAAGCUGUUCUCAGUUCGGACUGCAGUCUGCAACUCGACNGNACGAAGCUGGAAUCGCUAGUAAUCGCGGAUCAGCACGCCGCGGUGAAUACGUUCCCGGGCCUUGUACACACCGCCCGUCACGCCAUGGGAGCUGGUAAUACCCAAAGUCGGUACACCAACCGCAAGGAGGAAGCCGCCUAAGGUAGGAUCAGUGACUGGGGUGAAGUCGUAACAAGGUAGC
rnacentral:rRNA from 1 species